rnacentral:rRNA from 1 species
UCUUUCUUUGCUGGCGACCGGCGCACGGGUGAGUAACACGUAUCCAACCUGCCCUUUACUCGGGGAUAGCCUUUCGAAAGAAAGAUUAAUACCCGAUAGUAUAAUGAUUCCGCAUGGUUUCAUUAUUAAAGGAUCCCGGUAAAGGAUGGGGAUGCGUUCCAUUAGGUUGUUGGUGAGGUAACGGCUCACCAAGCCUUCGAUGGAUAGGGGUUCUGAGAGGAAGGUCCCCCACAUUGGAACUGAGACACGGUCCAA